GAUGAACGCUGGCGGCGUGCCUAAUACAUGCAAGUCGAGCGAACAGACGAGGAGCUUGCUCCUCUGACGUUAGCGGCGGACGGGCGAGUAACACGUGGAUAGCCUACCUAUAAUACUGGGAUAACUUCGGGAAACCGGAGCUAAUACCGGAUAAUAUAUUGAACCGCAUGGUUCAAUAGUGAAAGACGGUUUUGCUGUCACUUAUAGAUGGAUCCGCGCCGCAUUAGCUAGUUGGUAAGGUAACGGCUUACCAAGGCAACGAUGCGUAGCCGACCUGAGAGGGUGAUCGGCCACACUGGAACUGAGACACGGUCCAGACUCCUACGGGAGGCAGCAGUAGGGAAUAUUCCGCAAUGGGCGAAAGCCUGACGGAGCAACGCCGCGUGAGUGAUGAAGGUCUUCGGAUCGUAAAACUCUGUUAUUAGGGAAGAACAAAUGUGUAAGUAACUAUGCACGUCUUGACGGUACCUAAUCAGAAAGCCACGGCUAACUACGUG
rnacentral:rRNA from 1 species